rnacentral:lncRNA from 1 species
AGCGGCUCUUGCGGACCCUGGAGGCUGCAGUCCGCUCCGUCGCAAUGAAGCUCUCCGUCUUGUCGCUCUUGGUCGCUCUGUGCGCCGCGCAGACGUUCUGCUACGUGCUGGACGUCCCGGCAGUCCCGGACGUGGUUCUGGGGCCCGUGGACGAGGCCUCCAGCACGGAGACGUCACCACUGGAAGGCGGCGAGGGGUCGCAUGCGCAAAGCGAGCAGUUGGUCGUUACGGGCGCCUGGCCGACCAAGGUGCUACCGCUGCCGCGCAUCCUCAGCAGGGUAGCCGGUAGGAGGGUCUACUCCUCUUCCUCCAGGUCCCUCUGCCCCCAGGGACAGCUCCCUGACAGGCUCGGCAUCUGCAGGGAUAUCUGGUGACGCGCUUCACGAGGGCUACCGGGGCGCCGAUCGCGGCAGCCGAACCUCACACUGAAUGCUCGUGGGCGCUGCCAGACGAGACUGUCUGCGUGGAGAAGCAACGGCGUGGUCCAGCCGCUGCCAGUUAUGUGAUCAACGUUAUGCGACCCACGUUAUGUGAUCAACGGAAAUCACAGCACAACAUCUCCAAUAUCUCCUGUUGAUUGGUACCUUUUUAUACUCUUUGUAUUCAUACUGGAAGGAAUUUUGUAAAUAAAGUAUACGAAAAGUCUAUGUUUAAA